AAGCAUUUUCAUUUGUAAAGUAACUAAAGCUGUCAAAUAAUUGUAAUUAAGUAAAAAAAAAAAGAAAAGUAGCCUAUUACUUCCUAUACUUGGACCAGAACCAGUACGCCGGCUGAUUCUCGCGAUGGUUGGCUUAUUAGCCGGCAGAGACACACACGGGAUGUUGGAAUGGGAUGAUGAGAGAGGAGACGCACACACGCCGAGCUGACACCGUUUACACCGAAAACGGGAGGACAAGGCGAGACGGCUGAGUCACUGCUGGUGAGGAGGAAGGUCUGGAGAGGGAACGACAGAGGAGGAGGAGGAGGUGGAGAAGGAGGGGGAGAAGAAGAAGAAGAAGAAGAAGAAGAAGGGAGGGAGACAGAGAGAUAAGCCACAACAGGAAAGAAACGACACAUACAGACACACACACUGUGUUUGUGUGUGUGUGUGUGAGAGGGAGACUGCGCGAACGAGAGGUUGAACGGGAAAGGAAGGAAGGGAGGGAGAGUGACGCGGAGGCUGGGAGAGCCUCUCCCCCCUCCUCCUCUCCUCCUCUCCCUCUCUUUCUCUCUUCUCCUCCUCUCCUCCCCUCCUCCCUCCCUCCCUCUCUCUCUCUGUGGAGCAGGCGUGUAGCGGCAUCAGACUCGGCGUGAAGGAACCAUGAGCGAUGUCACCAUCGUUAGAGAGGGAUGGCUCCAGAAACGGGGUAAGUACAU